AAUUCGAUUGUUUGAUCCUGGCUCAGGAUGAACGCUAGCGGCGGGCAUAAAUACGUGCAAGUCGAACGGGAUAAGUUGUAGCAAUACGACUUUGAGAGUGGCGCACGGGUGCGUAACACGUAUGCAACUUGCCCUUAACAGGGGGAUAGCUCUCGGAAACGAAAAUUAAUACCCCAUAUUAUUACUUAUAUGCAUGUAUGAGUAAUGAAAGCUCCGGCGGUUAAGGAUGGGCAUGCGGCUGAUUAGCUAGUUGGCGAGGUAAAGGCUCACCAAGGCGACGAUCAGUAGGGGGUCUGAGAGGAUGUCCCCCCACACUGGUACUGAGACACGGACCAGACUCCUACGGGAGGCAGCAGUAGGGAAUAUUGGUCAAUGGAGGCAACUCUGAACCAGCCACGCCGCGUGCAGGAUGAAGGCCCUCUGGGUUGUAAACUGCUUUUGUUAGGGAAAAAACCCCUCGAUGCGUUGAGGGUUGAUGGUACCUAAAGAAUAAGGAUCGGCUAACUCCGUGCCAGCAGCCGCGGUAAUACGGAGGAUCCUAGCGUUGUCCGGAUUUAUUGGGUUUAAAGGGUGCGUAGGCGGAAUAUUAAGUCAGGGGUGAAAGCCGGUCGCUUAACGAUCGAAUUGCCUUUGAAACUGGUAUUCUUGAAUUUGAUUGAGGUAGGCGGAAUGUGUCAUGUAGCGGUGAAAUGCAUAGAUAUGAUACAGAACACCGAUUGCGAAGGCAGCUUACUAAGUCAACAUUGACGCUGAGGCACGAAAGCGUGGGGAGCAAACAGGAUUAGAUACCCUGGUAGUCCACGCCGUAAACGUUGAUAACUCGCUGUUAGCGAUAUACAGUUAGCGGCUAAGCGAAAGCGUAAGUUCCACC
rnacentral:rRNA from 1 species